GUGGAUUAGAUACCCUGGUAGUCCACACCGUAAACGUUGGGCACUAGGUGUGGGGAGGAUCAACCCUUUCCGUGCCGUAGCUAACGCAUUAAGUGCCCCGCCUGGGGAGUACGGCCGCAAGGCUAAAACUCAAAGGAAUUGACGGGGGCCCGCACAAGCGGCGGAGCAUGUUGCUUAAUUCGAGGCAACGCGAAGAACCUUACCUAGGUUGAACUACGCAGGAACAGCCACAGAGAUGUGGUGUCCUUCGGGGCCUGCGAUAGGUGGUGCACGGUCGUCGUCAGCU
rnacentral:rRNA from 1 species